rnacentral:rRNA from 1 species
AUGGUAGCUGACAUCAUUGGUAUUUCUAUGUCAUUGCUGGAGCAGUUGGCAAAAAUCAAGCCACCUAGUGAAAUGUUAGGUGACAAUGAUGCCAUGACCAUGAGUGGUGGUGUUAAGAAUGGUGUUGAUGUUGAUUUGCGAAGACAUAUACUUGGAUUAUUUGAUCCAAAUUCAAGGUUGCUUGAAUAUCUGGUGAAUGCUAUGGUUAAAUGUACAUUGAGCACCGACGAUGCUAACCUAGUUGGGCCAUCAGAUGUUGAGAUGGAAGUUAUAGGUUCUAUUUGUGCUUUUCUUCAUGUCAUGGGGAAUACGUUUCAUCUAGAUGGAAUUAUGACUACGCUGGCCUACCAUACUGAAAUUGUUCCUGCAUUAUGGAAUUUCAUUAAGCACUGUCAUGAAAACCAGAGAUGGCAAUCUUUUUCCAAGUGUGUGUCUCUGUGGCUUGCAGAUGCUCCUGGUUGGCUUCUGCCAGUGUCCAUAUUUUGUCCUAUAUACAAGCACAUGUUAGAGACCCUUGAUAAGAUUGAAUUCUGUGAACAAAAGCAGCCUUUUUCACUCGAAAGUUUAAAAUCGCUGAUUCUUAUUUUAAAGGAGGUUUUAUGGGAACUCUUUUGGAUUAUUCCUUCAUAUAUCUCUUCUACUCCGACUGUAUUAUCCAAUGUUUUAUCCCUAAACAAAAUGUCGUUCGAGAAUCUCAAGAGCAGAGCUAGGAUUGAGUUGGCUGAAUUACUUAUACAGUUGCAAGACUGGAACAACCGUUGCCCAUUCGCUUCUGCUAGUGAUUUCUGUCGAGAAGAAAUAAGUGAACAUUUUGUCAAUCAGGCGAUACUUUCCAACACUCGAGAAUCAGAGAUUAUAAAGAUUGCUCCUUUUUUGGUGCCUUUUGACAUUAGAGUCAAAAUAUUUACUUCGCACUUGGAAAAUUCUAGACAAUCAUCCCGCCAGCCCCGUCGGUUGGAAGUACGAAAAUCUCGACUUCUAGAUGAUGCUUUUGCUCAGCUAAGUGUGCUCUCCAAAGAAGGUCUUAAAUCACAAGUAUGA